GAUGAAGAACGUAGCGAAAUGCGAUACGUAAUGUGAAUUGCAGAAUUCAGUGAAUCAUCGAAUCUUUGAACGCAUAUUGCGCUCUCUGGUAUUCCGGAGAGCAUGCUUGUUUGAGUAUCAGUAAACACCUCAACUCCCUUUUCUUUUUUGAAAUUGGAGCUGGACUUGAGUGAUCCCAACGCUUUCUUCCAAGAAAGUGGCGGGUUGCUUGAAAUGCAGGUGCAGCUGAACUUUUCUCUGAGCUAUAAGCAUAUCUAUUUAGUCUGCCUAAAAAACAGAUUAUUACCUUUGCUGCAGCUAACAUAAAGGAGACUAGUUCUUGUGCUGACUGAUGCAGGAUUCACAGAGACAGCUUCGGCUGACUUUGUAAACUCGAUCUCAAAUCAAGUAAGACUACCCGCUGAACUUAAGCAUAUCAAAAGCGGAGGA
rnacentral:misc_RNA from 1 species